CAGUGACACUGUUCAACGGCCGCGGUAUCCUAACCGUGCGAAGGUAGCGUAAUCACUUGUUCUUUAAUUGAGGACUAGUAUGAAUGGCUUCACGAAGACUUCGCUGUCUCCUUUUUCUAAUCAAUGAAACUAAUCUCCCCGUGAAGAAGCGGGGAUGCAUUUAUAAGACGAGAAGACCCUAUGGAGCUUUAAACAACAGAAACACUUGCUUUUAACCACUACAUCUUCAGAGAACUAUAAAUACCCUGAGCACUUUAAUUUCUAGUUUUAGGUUGGGGUGACCACGGAGUAAAAACUAACCUCCAUGCUGAAAUGAACCUCCAUUCUUAGUCUAAAGUCACAACUUUAAACAUCAAUAAAUUGACUACCAUUGACCCAAUUACUUGAUCAACGAACCAAGUUACCCUAGGGAUAACAGCGCAAUCUACUUCGAGAGCUCUUAUCGACAAGUAGGUUUACGACCUCGAUGUUGGAUCAGGGUAUCCUAGUGGUGCAGCCGCUACUAACGGUUCGUUUGUU
rnacentral:rRNA from 1 species